rnacentral:rRNA from 1 species
GAUGAACGCUGGCGGCGUGCCUAAUACAUGCAAGUCGAGCGAACAGACGAGGAGCUUGCUCCUCUGACGUUAGCGGCGGACGGGUGAGUAACACGUGGAUAACCUACCUAUAAGACUGGGAUAACUUCGGGAAACCGGAGCUAAUACCGGAUAAUAUAUUGAACCGCAUGGUUCAAUAGUGAAAGACGGUUUUGCUGUCACUUAUAGAUGGAUCCGCGCCGCAUUAGCUAGUUGGUAAGGUAACGGCUUACCAAGGCAACGAUGCGUAGCCGACCUGAGAGGGUGAUCGGCCACACUGGAACUGGGCCACGGUCCAGACCCCUACGGGAGGCAGCAGUAGGGAAUCUUCCGCAAUGGGCGAAAGCCUGACGGAGCAACGCCGCGUGAGUGAUGAAGGUCUUCGGAUCGUAAAACUCUGUUAUUAGGGAAGAACAAAUGUGUAAGUAACUAUGCACGUCUUGACGGUACCUAAUCAGAAAGCCACGGCUAACUACGUG